UUUCCGUAGGUGAACCUGCGGAAGGAUCAUUAUUGUAUAACCGAGGUGCGAGGGCUGUCGCUGACCCGAAAGGUCGUGCACGCCCGAGUGCCCGCACACACAUCCAUCUCACCCCUAUGUGCACCACCGCGUGGGUCCCCCUUUGGCUUGUUCGGAGGGGGGCUUACGUUUUCACACAAACUUUGUAUGCAGUGUAGAAUGUAUUGUUUGUUUUUGCGAUCGCGCAAUCAAUACAACUUUCAACAACGGAUCUCUUGGCUCUC
rnacentral:misc_RNA from 1 species